ACAAAAAUCUUCUCCUCUGAAACUACUGGUCCAAAUUUAACCAAACUUGGCCACAAUCAUCAUUUGGGUAUCUAGUUUAAAAAAUGUGUCCGGUGACCCGGCCAACCAACCAAGAUGGCCGCAAUGACUAAAAAUAGAACAUAGCGGUAAAAUGCAGUUUUUGGCUUAUAACUCAAAAACCAAAGCAUUUAGAGCAAAUCUGACAUGGGGGUAAUAUUGUUCAUCAGGUCAAGAUCUAUCUGCCCUGAAAUUUUCAGAUGAAUAGGACAUUUCGUUGUUGGGUUGUUGCCCCUGAAAUGGUAAAUUUAAGGAAAUUUUGCUGUUUUUGGUUAUUAUCUUAAAUAUUAUUAUAGAUAGAGAUAAACUGUAAACAGCAAUAAUGUUCAGCAAAGUAAGAUCUACAAAUAAGUCAAACAUGACCAAAAUGGUCAGUUGACCACUUUAGGAGUUAUUGCCCUUUAUAGUCAAUUUUAACCUUUUUUUCGUAAAUCUUAGUAAUCUUUUAGAAAAAUCUUUUCCUCUGAUACUACUGGGCCAAAUUUAACCAAACUUGGCCAUAAUCAUCAUUGGGGUAUCUAGUUUUAAAAAUGUGUCCGGUGUCCUGCCCAACCAACCAACCAAGAUGGCCGUCAUGGCUAAAAAUAGAUCAUAGGGGUAAAAUGCAGUUUUUGGCUUAUAACUCAAAAACCAAAGCAUUAAGAGCAAAUCUGACAUAAGUAAAAUUGUUCAUCAGGUCAAGAUCUAUCUGCCCUGAAAUUUUCAGAUGAAUCGGACAUUCCAUUGUUGGGUUGCUG
rnacentral:lncRNA from 1 species